UAAAGAGGUCUCGAGCGUUGUUCGGAUUCAUUGGGCGUAAAGGGCGCGUAGGCUGCGGGGCAAGUCGGGUGUGAAAUCUCGGGGCUUAACUCCGAAACUGCAUUCGAUACUGCGGUGCUUGAGGACUGGAGAGGAGACUGGAAUUCAUGGUGUAGCAGUGAAAUGCGUAGAGAUCAUGAGGAAGACCAGUGGCGAAGGCGGGUCUCUGGACAGUUCCUGACACUGAGACACGAAGGCCAGGGGAGCAAACGGG
rnacentral:rRNA from 1 species